rfam:Brachypodium distachyon strain Bd21 chromosome 4, whole genome shotgun sequence.
AAAAUACUCCCUCCGUCCUAUAUUAAGUGACCUUUUAUUACAUGUAUCUAGACGUUUUUUAGGCAUAGAUACAUACAUAUUUGGUAAAUUCAAGUCACUUAAUAUGAGACGGAGGGAGUAUGUU